AGGCAGUGUAGUUAGCUGAUUGCUAAAGGUACAAUCACUAACCACACAGCCAGG
rnacentral:pre_miRNA from 1 species